UUCUCUAUUUCUUUUUCACCUCAUAGGUCCUUUGUGUAUAUAUUAUGGCUUCUGGUUUUGUGUUUCUCUGGGAUUCCUGUGUGUGCAACUGUGUACGGAUUUGCAUCUCUGUGAUUUCUUGUGCUUUUUCUUUGGCUUUUUUUUUUCUUGGUCAGUGGCUUUGUCCUAUUCCAAUCCGUUUGUUUUUGUUUUCCCUUACUGUAUUUUAUUUUAUUAUUAUUUCUAGAUGCCUAUUUGCUUUCUAAGGAGAGACAGACAGGGUGUGGAGUUGGAUGGGAGGGGAAGUGAGGAGGAGCUGGUAAGACUAGGGGAGGGGAAGUCAUAAUCAGACUAUAUUGCAUGGCAAAAAAACUAUUUUCAAUAAGAGAAAAUGUUUUUUUAAAAAUCAAAUAAAUAAAAUGUAUGGUAAUUUACAGAAAGGGUAGACCCUUUUAAUUUGAGAGAUAAAGAAGGAAAGAGCAAGGAGGAGAAGGGGAAAGGGAAAGAAAGGAAGUCAGAAGGCAGAGGUCACAGCUGCCUCCCACCAACCUAUUCCCACUUUGCACCCCAGUCUGCUCUACCUCUUCAGACCUUCAGGGUGAAGCACAGCAACGCAGGCAAAGCUGCUGCGAAAGACCGCAGACGAAGGACUCAGAACUCAUUAGCAGCAAAAAUCUAUACCUGAAAGGAUUAGCUAUGAAGAAUUGAAAGAAAAUGAAAGCGAGCCAGCCUUCUGCUGCUUCCUGUCCUUAACUGUUUCAACCCAGCCGUUUCCAAGGUGCCUUCCAAAAUUAACAAUAAGGUUCCACUAUGGAUGUUUCUGGGAGUCACAAUGAGCUACUGAAAACCCAAGGCACGCUGACCACACAGCACAUCGAGCAGAUGCCACCACCCUUGCAGACCUGAAAUGACCACCACUUAAGCAACGCCUGCUCAAACCACAACUGCAACCAUUUAUUAAGAGCCCGCUACCCACGCAGCUCUGAGCAAGGACCUCAGAGCACUCACGCGUGCUAAGGACUGACCCUUCGCUUCUAUUUAUAUAGGAGGAGAUAGGGUCUGGCAACUUGCCUGAGGCUGGGCAGGUCACAAGUGACAGUACCAAGAUUAGAGCCCUCACCAAAUAUGUAAAAGACCCAUUGGCAAUGAGACUCACAUCACAUGAGUGUCGGUGAAGUGCUAAAGGUCGUGUGAUUACAAGAUUCAAAGGGCAAAGGCGAUGAUGUUUCUGAAGUGGGAGAUGGUGUGAUAUAGAAGGGGGAGGAAGUAGAAGCUUAUACAGCUCUGCCAUGAUCAAGCCAAAUGACCUUAGCAAAGGGUCCAUUCAUGCUUUCGUUCAAUGAAUACUCGUUAAGUAUCUCGUCUGUGCUUAGCAUUCAUUCAACAACAGUGAGCAAAGCAAGCAUGGGUCUCCUUGUGGUACUUUCAAGCCCUCGAGGAUCUUAGAAGGCAGAGACUAUCUCACCUAAUUCUCCCUUUGACACAGGGAAGGACCGAGACCCUUUCUUGCAGGGUGGGACUUGCCCAAAGUUACGCGAUGAGUUGUUCAGUGGCAGAGCUGAACCGAAAGUCGGUUCUCGUCUAUAUUUCUCUGUUUAGUUUUUGUCUGGACGGUGAGAGCUGAGUAGUCAAAUCUCCCACUAGCAGUGUGUGAGGGGGGCAGAUGGGGAUGGAGACAGGAGGGAUCGGGGUGAGGGUGGAAGGAGAGUGAACUGGGAGAGGUGGACAGAAUCGCAGGGCACCCAGGGAAUGGUGUAAAGACCAAAUGCAGUGGAAACUUCCUGGAAUGUAUGAGGAUGGCCACAGUGAAGCCCCCUAGCAAUGGGGAAUGCAGAGCCUGAACUGGCCAUCUUCUCCAACCAGGCAAGACUUCCAGUGGUGGAGCUGGGACAUCAACCCAGCCACGAAAUCUUCAACCUGCAAUUUGUCCUGCCUGCAAGGUGUGCUGAGGUAAUGGUGACACAGAACUUGUGGUACCGGCCAGCCAACGGCUAGUCCAACUUGAGGGCCAAGAACAGACAGAAGCCCUUGCCUGACACUGUCUGUAUAGCCAGGACCCAGAGACUGAAUAGCAGAGAGACCUGGGAUAGAACUAAGCAUGACUAGCCAAAGGAGGAAAAAAUGUCGAUGAAAUGAAUCCUAAUGAUAUUCUGCUAUAAUCCUAGAUUAGUGCCUAGCCCAUCAUCAGAGAGGCUUCAUCUAGCAACUGAUGGGAGCAGAUGCAGAGAUCCACAGCCAAACAUUGGGCAGAGCUCAGGGAACCUGGCAGAAAUGGGGGAGGAAGGAUUAUAGGAGCCAGAGGGGUCAAGGAUACCACUAGAGCACAACCGAUAGAAUCAGAUAAACAGGGCUCAUAGGGGCUCACAGAGACUGUACCAACAAUCACAGAGUCUGUAUGGGUCCAAGCUAGGAUCUCUGCAUAAACGUUAUGGUUACAUAGCUUGGUGUUUUUGUGGGACUCCUAACAGUGGAGGUGGCAUGGGGGGAGGGGGACCUACCACUCUCUUUCCUGAGAUUAGGAUCCUUUCCCUCCUACUGGGUUACCUCACCCAGCCUUGAUAGGAGGGCUUGUACCUUGUCUUUUUGUAACUUUUAUGCUGCAUUUGGCUAAUAUCCCUGGGAGGCCUGCUCUUUUCUGGAGGCAAAGGGAGGAGAAGUGGAUCUGUGGAUGUCAGGGGAUGGGAGGAGUGGAGGGAAAAGAAACUGGUCGGGCUGGAACAUAUGAGAAAGAAUAAAAAGAAAGACAGGGAGUUAUCUGUUGGGUUCAUCACACUGUUUCAGACAUGGGGGUUUCACUGUCUGAUUCAGCUUGGAUAACUGAUAUUGGGGCCCUGAAGUCAGCCUUGAAGGUUCAUUGUGGUGAAUAAAUUGACCAUGCUGGCAGUCAGCAGUGCACACACACAGUGGCACUAGAGACUGCUGAAGUGUGCUCCAAGUGAAGGGGUUGUUAAGUGAACUUGGCAUGCCAAUAGAAUGCACG